UACGAAGGGUGCUAGCGUUGUUCGGAAUUACUGGGCGUAAAGCGCGCGUAGGCGGCUUUUCAAGUCAGGGGUGAAAUCCCACAGCUCAACUGUGGAAUUGCCUUUGAAACUGUAAGCUAGAGUGUCGGAGGGGAUAGCGGAAUUGCUAAUGUAGAGGUGAAAUUCGUAGAUAUUAGCAGGAGCACCGGUGGCGAAGGCGGCUAUCUGGACGACAACUGACGCUGAGGCGCGAAAGCGUGGGGAGUCAAACAG
rnacentral:rRNA from 1 species